UCGAAUAUGGGUUAAAACGGGUAAAAAUCGGAAUGAUACGGAGAAGAUUAGCAUGGUUCUUGUGGAAGGAUGACACACACAUAUCGAAAAAUUGUCCAAUUUUUU